AGGCUGGAUACGACACAAUAAACUCCACAAACUACUUUCUAAUUCCUGAUUUAAGUAAUGGCAACUACCAAAACCUCAAGAACACGAGUAACGUAAACCUUCCUGGUCGUUGGGCCUUCAUCGCAAACAGUCAAUUAAAAAGCAUCAUAGGAGUUCGAAUGAAACUUAUGUCAUUUUCAGAUCUAACACAGAGUGAAAACACUGAGGCUGUUAUGCAGAUUAUACAACAAGAGUUGGUCAGUCGUGGACUGUCAAGUAGUGUCAAGAUGAAGUUAAGAAAAGUUAAAAAGACACAGCCGUAAUAUUUCAGCCUCAUCCAUGGAUAGAAAUUAAAGCAAAGACUGGUUCGUUAAGUCUCUGAUGAUAAAUGUCAUUUCCAUUUUCAAGAGGAAUGUCACUGCACAAGAAAGGAACUUCUACAAUGUCUCACUCUUCAACUUGCUUUCUGUUUACAUACAUAUUCUUAUCAAAAUACAAACAUAAUCGAACAUAUACAAAGAAAAAAAAAGAUACAUCAGUUUUUUUCUUUGUCACAUUUAUAUGUGUUUUUCCUUUUAAACUUUAAAUGGUCUUGAUGGUCUCAGCUUCUUUCUGUUUAAUACACAGUUCAGUGAGUAAAAAACAAGCUUGCUUCAUUUGGAUUGGCAAAAAGAUAUUUUAUAUAAAAAGCAGUACACCAAUAUAUUUAAACACAGUAUAUUUGAUAAUAAUAUACAGUAGUAUAUUUGAUAUUGAAAUUAAAAAUUAAUAAGAAGAGCUUAUUUUAGUUUAUUGGUGCCUAUUGUUAAAGGGAAACUAUCUUUUUCUUUGCUCACCACGAGAGGGAGACAGCUGAGAUACUGGUGCUUUAAAACAACUGUAUAUGUUUUUUUUUUACCCCUACAUAUUAGUUUGAAAAUCAUUCUGAUGAUACACACUGACUUAUAAUAAGAUGAAUGUAUUUAAUUUCUUUCUCACCAGUUUCUCCACAUGUCUGUUUUGGGAGUAUGUAAGUUUGCUAUAAAUAUGAAAAACCAAAUCUGCAUACAGGUGAACCUCUAAAUUAAAUCAGUGUCUGGAUCCAAAAACGCCACUUUUGUGUUGUUUGCUGUGUAAUAAUCAUUUGAUGCUAUGCUAAUCGUCAAGCUCUAGUCUGUGGUGUUUGGAUGUUUGGUUUAUUUUGUUGAUUUUACUUCACAGUGAUAAACUUAACAUUUUCUGUGGUAACCUAAUUAGUUAUCACACAUUAAUAGGCUACUAGGACCUAUAACCAUUGACUAUGUUUACUUGUUAGUGUCAUACUUUUGUCAUUUUCAAGCCCUAAACUGAUGGUUAAACCACUGAAUGUAUAUCCAUACUUAAAUAUUUAUGUCAAACUGAUUGUCUUUCUACAUAUAGAAACUGUAGUCUAAAUUUCAUUUCAUUUCAUUCACUUGAACAGCAGAUAGCGAUAAAGUCUGUGUUGUUUAUUUAGUAUUUAGUUACAUCUGAUGUAUCAUCAUAUGACUAAUACUGAGAUUGUUACAAUCCUUCAGUCACCCUGACUCACAAAUCGUUUAACUAAUAAUGAAUGUUAAUAAAUGUUAGGAAGUUUCUGUAAGCACUGAAGUGUUGUGAACACAAAGUAACAUUUAUAGUGUCUAAAGAAUUACCUGUUUAUGUGUCAGCUGGAUUAUUUGCGUUUCUUAUUCAGUAUAUUAUUUGCAUACCAUUUUUGCAUUUCCAUUACCUUCAACAGCAAAUG